rnacentral:misc_RNA from 1 species
CCGAGUUUACAACUCCCAAACCCCUGUGAACAUACCACUUGUUGCCUCGGCGGAUCAGCCCGCUCCCGGUAAAACGGGACGGCCCGCCAGAGGACCCCUAAACUCUGCUUCUAUAUGUAACUUCUGAGUAAAACCAUAAAUAAAGUC